GACGAACGCUGGCGGCGUGCUUAACACAUGCAAGUCGAACGGAAAGGCCCCAGCUUGCUGGGGUACUCGAGUGGCGAACGGGUGAGUAACACGUGGGUGAUCUGCCCUGCACUCUGGGAUAAGCCUGGGAAACUGGGUCUAAUACCGGAUAGGACCGUGCUUUAGUGUGUGCGGUGGAAAGUUUUUCGGUGCAGGAUGAGCCCGCGGCCUAUCAGCUUGUUGGUGGGGUAAUGGCCUACCAAGGCGGCGACGGGUAGCCGGCCUGAGAGGGUGUACGGCCACAUUGGGACUGAGACACGGCCCAGACUCCUACGGGAGGCAGCAGUGGGGAAUAUUGCACAAUGGGCGCAAGCCUGAUGCAGCGACGCCGCGUGGGGGAUGACGGCCUUCGGGUUGUAAACCACUUUCGGCAGGGACGAAGCUUUUGUGACGGUACCUGCAUAAGAAGCACCGGCUAACUACGUG
rnacentral:rRNA from 1 species